GUAGGGUCCGAGCGUUGUCCGGAAUUAUUGGGCGUAAAGGGCUCGUAGGCGGUUAGUCACGUCGGGAGUGAAAACUCAGGGCUCAACCCUGAGCGUGCUUCCGAUACGGGCUGACUAGAGGUAUGCAGGGGAGAACGGAAUUCCUGGUGUAGCGGUGGAAUGCGCAGAUAUCAGGAGGAACACCGGUGGCGAAGGCGGUUCUCUGGGCAUUACCUGACGCUGAGGAGCGAAAGCAUGGGGAGCGAACAGGAUUAGAUACCCUGGUAGUCCAUGCCGUAAACGUUGGGCGCUAGGUGUGGGGUCCUUCCACGGAUUCCGUGCCGCAGCUAACGCAUUAAGCGCCCCGCCUGGGGAGUACGGCCGCAAGGUUA
rnacentral:rRNA from 1 species